UACGAAGGGUGCAAGCGUUACUCGGAAUUACUGGGCGUAAAGCGUGCGUAGGUGGUUUUUUAAGUCCGUUGUGAAAGCCCUGGGCUCAACCUGGGAAUGGCAGUGGAUACUGGAAAGCUAGAGUGCGGUAGAGGGUAGUGGAAUUCCCGGUGUAGAGGUGAAAUUCGUAGAUAUCGGGAGGAACACCGGUGGCGAAGGCGGCGACCUGGGUAGAUACUGACGCUGAGGUGCGAAAGCGUGGGGAGCAAACAGG
rnacentral:rRNA from 1 species